rnacentral:rRNA from 1 species
ACCUUGCGUUAUUCGAGCGGCCGACGUCUGAUUAGCUAGUUGGUGAGGUAAUGGCUCACCGAGGCGACGAUCAGUAGCGGGUCUGAGAGGAUGAUCCGUCACACUGGGACUGAGACACGGCCCAGACUCCUACGGGAGGCAGCAGUGGGGAAUUUUGGACAAUGGGGGAAACCCUGAUCCAGCCAUUCCGCGUGAGUGAAGAAGGCCUUCGGGUUGUAAAGCUCUUUCAGCAGGAACGAAACGGUACGCUCUAACAUAGCGUGCUAAUGACGGUACCUGCAGAAGAAGCACCGGCUAACUACGUGCCAGCAGCCGCGGUAAUACGUAGGGUGCGAGCGUUAAUCGGAAUUACUGGGCGUAAAGCGUGCGCAGGCGGACUGUUAAGCAAGAUGUGAAAUCCCCGGGCUUAACCUGGGAAUGGCAUUUUGAACUGGCAGUCUAGAGUGUGUCAGAGGGGGGUGGAAUUCCACGUGUAGCAGUGAAAUGCGUAGAGAUGUGGAGGAACACCAAUGGCGAAGGCAGCCCCCUGGGAUAACACUGACGCUCAUGUACGAAAGCGUGGGUAGCAAACAGGAUUAGAUACCCUGGUAGUCCACGCCCUAAACGAUGUCAACUGGUUGUUGGGGGAGUGAAAUCCCUUAGUAACGAAGCUAACGCGUGAAGUUGACCGCCUGGGGAGUACGGUCGCAAGAUUAAAACUCAAAGGAAUUGACGGGGACCCGCACAAGCGGUGGAUGAUGUGGAUUAAUUCGAUGCAACGCGAAAAACCUUACCUACCCUUGACAUGUCCAGAAUCCUGCAGAGAUGCGGGAGUGCCCGAAAGGGAAUUGGAACACAGGUGCUGCAUGGCUGUCGUCAGCUCGUGUCGUGAGAUGUUGGGUUAAGUCCCGCAACGAGCGCAACCCUUAUCAUUAGUUGCUACGCAAGGGCACUCUAAUGAGACUGCCGGUGACAAACCGGAGGAAGGUGGGGAUGACGUCAAGUCCUCAUGGCCCUUAUGGGUAGGGCUUCACACGUCAUACAAUGGUCGGUACAGAGGGUUGCCAAGCCGCGAGGUGGAGCCAAUCCCAGAAAGCCGAUCGUAGUCCGGAUCGCAGUCUGCAACUCGACUGCGUGAAGUCGGAAUCGCUAGUAAUCGUGGAUCAGCAUGUCACGGUGAAUACGUUCCCGGGUCU